GAUGAACGCUGGCGGCGUGCUUAACACAUGCAAGUCGAACGAUGAAGCCCAGCUUGCUGGGUGGAUUAGUGGCGAACGGGUGAGUAACACGUGAGUAACCUGCCCUUGACUCUGGGAUAAGCCUGGGAAACUGGGUCUAAUACUGGAUAUGACUUCUCAUCGCAUGGUGGGGGGUGGAAAGAUUUAUUGGUCUUGGAUGGACUCGCGGCCUAUCAGCUUGUUGGUGAGGUAAUGGCUCACCAAGGCGACGACGGGUAGCCGGCCUGAGAGGGUGACCGGCCACACUGGGACUGAGACACGGCCCAGACCCCUACGGGAGGCAGCAGUGGGGAAUAUUGCACAAUGGGCGCAAGCCUGAUGCAGCGACGCCGCGUGAGGGAUGACGGCCUUCGGGUUGUAAACCUCUUUCAGUAGGGAAGAAGCGAGAGUGACGGUACCUGCAGAAGAAGCGCCGGCUAACUACGUG
rnacentral:rRNA from 1 species